GACGAAUUUCCCUAAUUCCCCAGUUAAUUCAAUCACAAGCACCUUAAUUUGUAGGUAAGAAGAUGAGCAAGGACCAUAAGGCAGAGAAUGGGCACCCAUGGAUCAUUAGAUUAUUUGCCUCAUGUUUCAGUGUUCCUGUUGAAGGUGAAGAUUUCAAGAGAAAAAGAACUGCACCACCUGCUGGUCCUGAGGCCACAAUCGUUGCAGUAGCCAAGCAUUUCUCUUCUGCUCAUAAGGUAAGGUUGAUAUAGCUUGAUGUAAACAACCAAGUAUAUUUUGAGUUAAGGGUAUUGCCUCCUUAUAAAGGCUGCGUAUUGUCCUUCUAGAUCUUGUGCAAAUGACAGACAAAUUUGAUAGUUUCUUUAAAAAAGCAUCAUCUUGUGUAUUUAGUUAUGGGUUACCUAACCUAUCAGUGUGAG
rnacentral:misc_RNA from 1 species